AUGGACAUGAGGGCACCUACUCAGCUUCAGGACCUCCUGCUGCUCUGGCUCCCAGGUGCCAGAUGUGCCUUUGAGGUGACCCAGACUCCAACCACGAUGUCUGCAAAGGUGGGAGGCACAGUCACCAUUGAUUGCAAGACGGAUCAGAGUGUUAGCAGUAGUUUAGCCUGGUUUCAGCAGAAACCAGGGCAACCUCCAAAGCUCCUGAUCUAUGGUGCAUCGUAUUUAGCCGAUGGGGUCCCUGACAGGUUCAAGGGCAGUGGAUCUGGGACAUCAUUCACUCUCACCAUCAGCCCUGUGCAGGCUGCGGAUGCCGGAAUCUACUACUGUCAAGGGUAUUAUAGUGCUAGUAGUACUACUGCGGUGAUAUAAGUCUGAACAAAAACCAACCAUGAAAGCAGAAGUGUGAGUCUGCACUGCCCAGUUCCCCAUUCUAGAUUCUCUAUCUGCUAAGAGUCAUUGUCAGAUGUAGUCAGUCUUGAUGGUCCCUGAGAUGUAAUAAGACAUCGCUGAGACUCUUUUGCAGCCUCCCUCAUUUCUUCCAAC